GUGCUUGCUUCAGCAGCAUAUAUAGUGAAAUUGUAAUGAUAUAGGGACAAUUAGCAUGGCCUCUGCACAUGGAUGACAGAGUGUCCCGUUUAAAAAAAGAGAAAGAG